rnacentral:rRNA from 1 species
AACGAACGCUGGCGGCAUGCCUAACACAUGCAAGUCGAACGAGACCUUCGGGUCUAGUUGCGCACGGGUGCGUAACGCGUGGGAACCUGCCCUUAGGUUCGGAAUAACUCCCCGAAAGGGGUGCUAAUACCGGAUAAUGUCUUCGGACCAAAGAUUUAUCGCCUUUGGAUGGGCCCGCGUUGGAUUAGCUAGUUGGUAGGGUAAAAGCCUACCAAGGCGACGAUCCAUAGCUGGUCUGAGAGGAUGAUCAGCCACACUGGGACUGAGACACGGCCCAGACUCCUACGGGAGGCAGCAGUGGGGAAUAUUGGACAAGGGGCGAAAGCCUGAUCCAGCAAUGCCGCGUGAGUGAUGAAGGCCUUAGGGUUGUAAAGCUCUUUUACCCGGGAUGAUAAUGACAGUACCGGGAGAAUAAGCUCCGGCUAACUCCGUG